UGGCGGACGGGUGAGGAAUACAUCGGAAUCUACUCUGUCGUGGGGGAUAACGUAGGGAAACUUACGCUAAUACCGCAUACGACCUAGGGGUGAAAGCAGGGGAUCUUCGGACCUUGCGCGAUUGAAUGAGCCGAUGUCGGAUUAGCUAGUUGGCGGGGUAAAGGCCCACCAAGGCGACGAUCCGUAGCUGGUCUGAGAGGAUGAUCAGCCACACUGGAACUGAGACACGGUCCAGACUCCUACGGGAGGCAGCAGUU
rnacentral:rRNA from 1 species